AGUGCCCAAACCCACCCCCACAGAUUCCUCAAUACCAACCAUAGCUUCCAACCUAUACCCACACCCAACAACCGCAGCCUAAUACACAGAUGGUUCAGGUUUGUAAUAUUUUAUAUAGUUUUAGGUGUUAAUCCAAGAGUAUUGAAUUAUUCGGGAUUAUUAAAGUAAUUAAUUUUGAAUAUCAAAUCAAGGUUCCAGUUUAGGAACAGAGUUUUAUUGGGAAUUAUCCCCAUAUGUAUAUGUUAGUGUUUUAAUAUUCAUCCUAACAAGGAUUUCUAUAGAGUGAGUGCUACUCUCAUCAGUACAAAGGCAUUCCAAAGGGGUAUUAUGUAAAACUUCAUAGAAGACAGAUUGCAUAAAAUAUAAGCAAAUAUAAGAGAAGUACAUGUUACACAAAUUAAGGGUUUAACCUUAAUCUCUAAUUUAAGUUUUAGCCUAGGUAAUUAAUUAAUGAUGUUGUAUUGAUCCUUGUGUUUGUAUGAUUGUAGAGACCGUCCUGGAGUGUUUGUGCCGCCUGAUUUCUGGGACUAUACACCAAUCUCUCUGGCUGACCAUGCAAUAAGUAUUUUGCAAUUACAUCUGUUUGGUCAUUAUCCAUGCAGGCCGAAGAAACUGAGAUACUUAUUUAUGAGGACAUAAACUUUGCACGCAAGAACCUGGAAAGUCCUGAAGGUGCAGUGCUGUCUAAUACCGCUGGUUCUGUAAUAACCCUUUCAACCAUUGGGGUGUUGCACAGAGCUUUGUGGUGAAAAUCCAGCAAACAAAAGAAGAACUAUGUGGAAGCUAACAUUGUCUUGUUGUCAGCCAUAUUGCUACCCUUAUGGAACAAAAUGUCUGGUGUCUAAACUGAUUUCUUUAUACUCUGUGAAAGACUUAUUCUAUUUUUCUGAACUAUGCUGAACUAUUGAACUAUUUUUAUUUUUAUUUUUGUAGAGUUAGCCAGAGAGAGAGGAAGUGUUAGCUGACCCAGGGAUGGAUGUACAAUGUGUGUUUUUGAUAUAUGUUGAGUGUGCCAAGGAUGGAUUCCCAUGUUUUGAGGAACUGCGUGAGGAUAUGACUGGUUUUGACUGGACUUUUGGAAUAGGGAAAUGGUUAAAAGAUAUAGGACGC